CCCCUUCGGCCUGGCCCAGCCCUGCGGGCAGACGGGGCCCGGCCCAUCGGGGCCGCCCCAGGGCCGGGUUUCCACACCCGAAAUGCCGCAGCCCGGGCAGGACUUAGCUCGGGCAGGGCUUGCCCUCAGGAAGGAUUUAUCCCUCGCUGUAGGGCUGUAGGUAAGGGAUUAGGAUUAGGAUGAGAAUUAUGGGGUUGACUGAGCCCGAACGGGGUUUGGGCUUGGAGCCCCCGGGUAGGCCCUGCGCUGUUGCUAGGCAACCGGCUCCGCCAUUACGUCCGCUGCCCCGACAGGGUAGGAGGAAGAAAGGGGGCGUGGACGUUCCCUCUGCUUCCGCCUUCUGCCGCCAACGCGUGCUCCCAUUGGCUAGGUACGCUGCCGUUGGCUGGGCACGUGCUGCCAUUGGCAGUGUUUGCAUUCUGUUCUUCUCAUUUCCUUCCUGAUCAGAGUUAAGGUGCCGUGCAUCCCUUCCCCAGCUCUAGCUGUCCCCUUUCACUGUUAAUAGGACAGAGAACUUCUGGCACGGAAGUAUGUCCAUCUGCAAGGCUUAGACUUCAUGCUUCUUCCUUUCUCUCUGCUUGGUAAAAGUCAGUGUCGGGCUCAUUUGGAGUCUGGAGUUCUGGUUUCUUGGACAGUCCUUAUCUAAAGCCUGGAGUGCCUGUGUCAACUGUGGUGGUGCAACUCCCACUCCCCACAUUCUCCCCCUUCUUUCAGGCCUCUCAGUGCUUGGUGCACUUCUUGGACAAAAGGUGGAGGACCAGUACGUGAAGGUACUCCUUCUGUUGCCUCGCCCCUGCUUGCCCCUGGGUAGCAAAUGGCAAUGAAUAAGAGCACUAGGGGAUGCCCUUAUUGUAUCCUUCUUCUGCUUCACACAAUACAAGCCAACAGCAAAAGAGGAGAACUCACAUCCAAAAAUAAGUAAGGUAAAAUAUAGUAUUUGUAGAAAUGAAGCAAGACAGUCAUUCUGGUACUGAUCUCCCCAUCAUAUGCAUGGAUAAUGUGGAGAACAAGCCGCAGGUGUUUCAGCAGUACAGCUGCACUUAUUCCUUGAUGUCAACAACUACUGUAAAUCUAACAGACCACGCAAAAUCAAGUCAUGCUACAAAGCAACUGAAGUGUGAAGACAGGAAAGCUACUCUAAGACUUUCUGCUUCUCAAACUUGCGCUUGGCCAUCACGAUAUAGCAUCAAACUAUCUUCUGAGAUUUGGGGGAGAGUCUUGUAUGGCAUGUGACUACAGAGAUAUGGUCAAGCCUGAAAGAAAAUCACUUCAUGUAAGCAGUUCAGCAAAACCUGUACACCACUGUUUGCACAGAGCUCUUCUAAGCGCCUCCUCCCCCUUCCCUCAGAGUCCUGUUGUUUCUACAGGACACUUUUUUUUUCCUGUUGAGAGCAGCAUAGCAUUUUUACUUUAUAGUUCCAGUGCUCCUUAUGUGGCUAAUGGAGAACUCUGCAAUGUAGAAUGAAGUAACGAGAGCUUCAUUCAACUGGCUGAUUUAAUAGUUCAUGCCCGCACAUCAGACCCUGCUCUCCCCAGAAAAAACUGUGUGUUUGUUUGUCACUUACCCAUACUGUCCCGCGUGGUAGCCAGGAUCUCAGAAAUAACAAAGACAAAAAGAACGCACUGAAGUUUUUCCCUUGCAAAAGAUUUUUAUGUUACAGGACUGACAGAAGCAAACGAGUCUCAAAAUGAUUACUGCAAUGAAAAUCUGAACCCAAGUCUGCUCCACAGCUUGCUACCUUACUCACUUUAAGGGCAAGUAUGUUUUCAACAUUUUUUGUAAUAUACUUAAGAUUGAAAAGUCAAUAGUGAGCACAUAAAGAAGGAAAAUAGUGUACAGAGAACAGCAAUACCAGCCUUGAGAAUGCUCAGCUGCUACAGACCACUGCGGAGACUUCUGUUUUUAUCAGGAACUGGAACUGGAAGGUUUUCUUUCCAGAGAUCCCUCCUCUGCAGAGUUUUCCCCCCGUGAGCCUAGAUCUCUGGAGACAGGCGAGCAGUCCUCUUUUCCUUCCCUUAUAACACCUUUCUAUUGUGUUCAGUCCCUUUCUCAUUACACCUCUUGUAUCACCUCUCCACCACGUUGAUCACUGCGGAGACUUCUGUUUUUAUCAGCAACUGGAACUGUAACUAGAAUUGCAUCAUGAAUGAAAUUUAUUAUUGUGAACAACAUAGGACAUUGGUGUAAAUUAUAAAUGAACCAGCAGAAAUAAGUUUUGGCCUCUGUAAUCUCUGUAGCUAAAGCUAGUUUAUCGUGGAAGAUUUACGCACUGCUAAAAUCCUUGCAAAGUUUUAGUAUUCUUUUUUUUUUUCUACUAAAAAUUUGUAGAACGAGAUAUAUACUUAGCUGCAUGAGGUCUUUGCUUGCAGUAAGACAGCCUUGUUAAUAAAUAAGGAAAUUGAUUUUUGAAAGCAUCAGAUGAGCAUCAAAGCAAAAGCCUGAGAGAAUAACUGAAACCCACUUCAAACAGAAAAACAUGUUUCCCUCUGAAUUAGCAAGCGCACAUAAGUCAGCUCUGGCUGGCUUCCAGCGAGGGCUUCCCAAGUGUCAUGGCUGGAGGCAAGGAUAUGGCCUGUCUGGAUAAAUCUGUGUUUCUGCAACACUGCUAUCUGACCCAUGUCUUUCAAGGCUCUACACUGUGACCCCCAAGACUGACUGCUUAAAAUAAAAUCUGUAAUUCCUUACAACUACAGUCUACUUCUAGAGCAGGAUCUUGACAGGAAGAAGAAGAAAUGCCAUUAGGCAGAGACAGAAAGGGGCAGAGGCAGUGGCCUGCCCUCUCCCACCUGUGUGCCUCAGAACUGGGAAGUGUACCCAGCCCAGCUGUUCUCGUGGGCUGGGGAGGGAGCAUAAACCUACUUUCAUGGUUCCAGCAUCAAACACCUUUCCAAGCUACAGAAUCCCUUGGGAGAACAAGACUGAGGGCUUCCAUGGCUCUGCCCAAGCUGAGGUGGGCUUCACACAAGACAAGCCAACAGCAAAAGAGGAGAACUCACAUCCAGUUACACUUCUGGUUUCACUCCUGUAGACCAAGUUACUGCUCCAAGAUCCUUCCUCAUGGCUAUGCAGCCAUCAACUCAAGCUUAUAAUGUGGCUCUCCUUCCUUCCACGUCUUGCUCCUUUCUUCCCAUGGAGAGGACCUCUACCCUGGCAGCAGCCUGGGCAUGGCACUAAGAGGUCCAGGCACACAGGUUUCCAAGUGAUGUCUAGCUUAUCUAAUGUGCACCACUUCACACACUCUUCCCUCUCACCGCAAAGAUAUCAUCCAAGUCUUAAGCAUCUUGAAGCUUGAUUACUGACAAAUUUACAUUUCUGGGCUUGGCAAACACUGUCUGCUCUCUUCAUUUUUUGUAUUGCUCACCAAGUAAUUUUCUCAGGCCUUGACUUUGAAUCUUCCACGCUUCUCUUUGCGUCACUAGGUAUGGUUUCCCUGAGAUACUUUUUUGGUAUUCCUUUCUCUACAUGCGUAAAAGUUCAUUCUCAGCAGAACUUUUCCCAACAGAUGGUUUGGAAAAAAAGGGAGACAGAAGUGUGGAGAAGGAAUGAAGCACCACUCGGUGCCCAUUAGAAUCAUCUUCACUGAGAGUCAGUCUACACUCCAGCAGGUCUGCAUGGGUGAAAGAAGGCAGCUGAACUUCUCCAGCAGCUCUGCAACUGCUGCUCUCAAUCCACGCUCCUUUAACUUCUCCAAAUCCCUACUACUGUUCCUCUAACUUAAUGCCUGUCCAUCGCUUUACCCAAAUCCUUGCUCCCUCGCUGCCAGUCCUUCAUAUUCCCAACACCCCUGCUCCUUCCCAUUGAGGCUGUAGUGCUUUGGAAUAGGCAGAGCCUCAAAAUAAGGAAAACAAACAAACAAACAAACACACACAGAAAAAAAAACCCCACGAAGUUGGGUCACAAAAUGCCUUUGUUAGAUGCAAAACACAAAGGCUGAGGCAACAGAGCAUGGUUUCCACGUAAUGCCCGUCACGAAAGCCAAGCAAAUAUGGUUCAAACUAUUAUAUGUUGUUGUUACCACUUUCAGCUUUUAAUUCUGACUGUGUGUUUCCCAUCCAUCCCUUGCACCUGUUCCCUAGUUUUUGGUGAUCUUUGAAGCAGUGCUGACAUCACACUGGGGUUGAUCAUGUCAGAUGGAUCACUGGCAGCUCACUGCUUGCAAAUGAGCUGUACCUGGCAGAAGAUUAAGGCCUGGAAAUGCUGCCAUAGAGGUUGCAGAGGGCUGCAUGCUUCUGCUCCCAGUUCCUGCAGACAAAGCAGUAGUCUGGUGUUGGUCAGGGCAAGGUCCUCCUGCCGCAGCUUCGUGAUGAUGGAUCUGGAGAUGAUCUGCAAGGUGAACUUCCACACAGUUUCACUGAAGGUGGCAGAGAAAAGCAGCAUCUGUCAGUCUUUUAGGAGAGCCCUGGGGCAGGAGAAAAGCUUGUUUGCCCUAGCAGCUCAUUAGCACUAAGGAUUCAUUAAAAAGAGGAACUAGGUAGCAAUUGGGACUGAAUAGCACUGACAAACUGUUAGCCCUUGGAACUCAUUAGUAUUGAGGACUCAUUAGCACUAGGAACUCUUUGGCACUUCUGUGUGAAACUCUUACAUUUUAACAAUGGGUAAAGCGAGUCUUUUGUGGAAAAAAAAUUACGUUUUGGAUAAAGUGAGCCCUUUAUGAAAAAUCUUACCCUCUUACUCCCUCCUUUUGCAUUUUCCUGUGCCAAAAGCAGGUUUCUGUGAUCCACCGAAAAAGAGAAAAGGAACGGGCAAGGAACAAGCAAGGAACAGAAAAGAAAUGUGCAAGGAACAAGGAAGAAAUGGGCAUAGGGUGGGAAAGGAAAUGGGAAAAGGAUGGGCAAAAGGACAGAGAAAGGGAUGGGCAAGGAGCAAGCAAAGAAUAGUAAAGAAAUUGGAAAGGAACAAAGAAGGGAUGGGAAAAUAAACAGGGAAAGGAAUUAGGGAGGAAGGAGUAACAGGAGGAGCAACGGGAGGGACAAAGGGGUCCCAACGUCUUUGUCGUUGCACCCAUGUGUCUCCUGUAAUCCCUGCAGUAAGUCCACUAUUCCGAGAUUCUAUGACAUUCACUUGGGUUGAACACAGCACUUGAGGUGUGGAGGUGGCACUGGGUGACACCAGGAAUGACACAGCCCCUCAGGGGGUGGCAGUGCGUGAGACCUGGGGUGACACAGAUCCCCAGGGAGUGGCACUGGGUGACGCCAGGGAGUGACAGCACCUCAAGGGCUGGCACCCAGUAUCCUCUACAGUCUCCAGCAGUCUCUAACGCUUUUUUGGUACCCUUUCUACGCGCCCCUACCCGGCUCCGUACUCUACUUCUCCCUCCCUCUGUCCCUCCCUCAGCCUCCCCCUCUUGGCCCCGCCUCCCGCCCUUACAGCCAAUGGCAGCACGUGCCCAGCCAACGCAGCUUCAUGCAGUUCCCCCAGGUCCUACUGCUGGUCACCAGGUGAAAGUGAUCUCUGCUUUUCUCCCUGUUUCCUACUGUGAGGAAGCUGUAGGCCACAGUGAUGUUAGCUCUUGUUAUCCUCUGCAUUCCCUAAUUGAAGCAAAAAGCCUCCUCAGGUGACUUGAGCUACGAUGCCCAAGCCACCUGAGGAAAAAGACCUGGCCAUCAGACAGUUUAUGGCAUGACAGAGGAUUUAACUAGGGCCUCCAGACAGGACCAGAGGCCCCAUGUUGAACGAACAAUUCUUUGGUCCCAAAAAAAUGUACAACAGCUUACGGCAUUGGUGGACACGGGCACAGAAACUUCAAUCGUUUACUGUGAUCCAACUAAAUUCCAAGGAAACAGAGAAAUGAUCAGUGGUUUGGGGGGACAGACCACUCCUGUCUGAGCCUUCUUGGAGGGGUGCCCAUAUACUGUCUUUCAAAAACAACUCAGGGGAAAGGCACGAGGCUCGUGUGAUCUGGCAGGUCCCGAUCUCAAGCUAACACGAGACCCAUUUAGGAAAGAUGGGAUGACUGAACAUGUUAUGCAUGGGCUUGAACACAAGGAGGAGAUGCAAGCACACUGAAAGCAUGAAUUCUUUGCUGCUCAAAAACAUGUUUUGAAAGCUGACUUCGCACCCAUACCUGCUAGGGCUAUGACUUCCAUUUCUGAGGGCUCCCCGGGACUUGCCAAACACCAACUGCAGCACACAGAGGAUGGAUUUCCCAGGCUGACACAGGAAUAACAACUGCCAGCUAGUGAUUUUCUCAUCUUAUUAUGUGGUCUUUUCCUGGAGCAAAUGGUUUGAGUUGUGGCGCAGGGAGAGGGAAAAGCUGCAUUCAGCUCUUGCCAGCAGUUGCUUCUUCCUAGCACUGCCUGGUUUCUGCUGACACAGACCUCUUUCUCUUUCAAACAGCUGAGGAUAUUUCCAUCCUUAUCGCACAGCCCUGAAGUCUUGCUGGCUAAAUUCCUCUAAACUAUGCAAAGCCAUAUGCAAUGCAGGUGUGCAAAGGCUCCAUAGCUGUACAGCACAGCAUCUAAGGGAUGGCUUUUACACAGCUGGCAGGCGUAACUGCUUUCUGAGGAACCGUGCAGCUGUAAAAGGCAUUCAGAAGCUGCUCUUAACAAAUCAUCGGCCUCCUCCCACUGCCUGCCAUGUUUAAUUCCUAGUGCCAGCAAGUCUGUCCAACAGCUCUGCUUAGAGGAGAACCAAAAUUUGUUUCAGGCACGUGGUCCUGGAAUCUGGAAAACCCCAGUGUUUCCAGGUGUGGGUAGUACAGGCAAGGACAGACAUCAGACGGCUUUAUACAUCUCAUGACUGCCUGCUUAACAAGGAAGGAAUGGCACCGCUGUGUGGCUAAACUGAGACCGUCGGGCAAAUGUAUGUUAGCUGAGUCCUCAGAGUCCAAAGAGAGUGAAAAUUCACCACAGCGCUUCAUGCAGGAUUAGCGUAAGUUCGUUUCAGCAAGUUUCUGCAGCAGAAAUAACGGAACAAAAGCCCACCCAAACAAUUAUGGUAGGCAAUAUGGUAAGAAAAGAAACUUCAGAUGUAUGUUCUUGUAGAGCAUCCCUGGCUUCCCAGAAAGACACUGGUAGCCACACUUGACAUACACUUACGUAAGCUGGGAAGUCUGUUGUCUCCUUGAUUGUAAAAGCAUAUUUCAAAUAGCUUGGUGGAGGCUUGGAUUUGACUGAGGUGUCUGAUCAAGAUAAAGCUAAUGGAGGAAGAUGCUCACCUGCUCCAUCUCAGAUGGAUGAGCUGGAUUUGGAGCUGAAGAGGACAUCUGUAUGGUUCGAUGAACUCCAGGGUACAGUACAUUUCAUUCUAAUGUAGACAGCCAAACAAAGCUAGAUGAAUUGCAGUCUAAAGUUAUUCAAACCUAAAAUCACACCUACUGAUUAUAAAAGGAAGUCAUUUAUAGACUACACACAUCUGAAGGAAGACUACAAUUGAGCAAUUUAAAGUGUCUGUAGUUAAUGAUGUCAAUUCAGACAUCCCAAGGAAGGGCUAAUUUCAUCCUAAAUUCUCUCCAGAAUACACCAGUAUCAGUACUCUCUAAAAUAACCUGCUUUCUCCAGUUAUUUUUCAAGGGAGAUAAGUGUGCCCAGACCACAUGCAGACUUCCACUUUUCCCCAAAGAAAUCCCUUAGCAGUGUCUAAUUUUCUAAUGAAGUCAUCAGAACACUGGAAACAUACACAAAAAAAAAUAUUAAUUAUCUUAACAGAAUUAACCCACAACAAUAUGACAGCCGGUAUGGCAAACAGGUAUACAGAUUGCAAGGUAAAUAAAAAUACAGGUAUAGGACCAGAGAGAUUAUCACAUUUACAAAGGAGUAAUGAAAUAGAGAGCUUACCUGUAUCCUAGGCUCACAGAAGGGCUCCAAGACAGGUAAUCUCCAGAUAGAGAUCCUUCCUCCUUGGGAGUCAGCCCUUAAAUGGGGUCUAGGAGGGGGUGGAGCCAGGCUCCAUCCCGCCCAGUCACUCAGGUGAAAUUGCAUUCACCUGUGCCCCUGCGGCUGACUCAGCACUCGCUUCAGGUGGUCAAUCAGAGGUUCAGGCCGUGAUUCAACAGUUCCCAUACACAGCCUUAGAAAACAAAUCCGCGUUUUUCAUGGGGCACAUCAAAUAAUUUCAUUUUCACACAUUUUGAAUCAAACUGGAUUUUGAUUCAUCACUCAUUAAGAAAACCAUUUUUAAAAAGUGAAAAUUAUUUUAAAUGUCUUUCUAUUGAUCAAAAUCCCUUCAUUCAUCCCAAUUCUUUUUCUUCUUCUGAGGCAGGAGAAAGGUACAUGAGUUUUUACCACCUUUACUCGAACAUCUUUCUUCCAUUUUGCCGCUGUUGCGGUUUGGCGAUGUUUCGUUGUCCGUGUUCCACAUCAGAACAUCGCGGGAACAGGUGGGAGUGCACGAGUUCACGUUCUGGUUCCGUCUGCUGCCUCUGAUGGGCAGUUUGAGCGCUCUGAUGGAGGGGAGGAGUGGCAUCCCGGGAGGACUCGGCGCGGAGAAGCGAGGCGGAGCUCCGGACCGGACCGCGGCCGUCUCUCCGUCCGUCGGGCCGGCUCAGCUCGCUGCGGGAAGGGCACUGCUUCCGUUGCACUUCGGAUACUCUUCUCUCCCGUUUGCAGAUGCAAUGCACCUAUAAUCCCUGAAUCUGUUCCCUUGUUCUGACUGGCAUUCCUGACCCUACAUGUCUAUGUAACUACUACAAAAACAAAUUUCAUCUGCCGAUAGAAGAUGACUAAACCUCUGCUGUGUAUGUUAACAUCUGCGUCGGAGGGCAACAGAUCACUAUUUAGGGCAAUACUAAAGCAUACCUGUGGAUGUGAGAUCGACAUUUCCAAAUGCCACUAUCUAGUGGACUUGGAUACAGCAGCUGAAACCCCAAGGGAGCCAAGAUACUCCUCCAACAAAGAGGAUUGGGUAACCAUUGCCUACAAGCCAUUCCUAGAUGCUUCCAGGUCCUCAAAGCUGCUGCGUGCAUUCUACGUCCCUGUCCUCUCAGAAAGGUACACACAGUAUGCAAACUACACUAUUCUGAAAUCUCGGAGGUUGAAGCAAACCAAGAGAAAAAUGGGAGGCUAGCAACACACCUGGGUAACAAAACCAACUGACACUCUGGGACGGCUGCCUAAGCCGCCUUCAGUUUCCUUUCUGAAAUGUUGUGCUUGUAAGAUCCACUAAUAAAGAUUUCCAUGAAGUGAUUUCACUCUGCAAGCUUCCUGCUGUAAGAGGGAUACAUCAUCUGCUUUCAGUUCUCGGAGCCAGGUGUCUGCUCUGCCUGCACAGAACCUAUUGGUUUGGAACCAGCUGGAACAUCCAGCACCACCUACAAACAUAUUAUCUUUGCUGUUCUCUGUGUUUACGCCUAUUAUACCAGAGAAGAGAAAAAUGGAAAAUAAAAAGAAAUUACAAUAUCAA